UAUAUAUAUAUAUUUGUUUUACAACUGACUUAACACUUACAGUAAUGUUUUAUUUGUUAGCAUAGCAUGAUAUUAGAUUUAAACACUUAAUACAUUUUUAAAUCAAUCACUUUGUCUCUGCACAAUGAACAUUAUCAAAUAUUAUUAAUGUUGUAAAAUAUAUUGUUCAUUGUUAGUUCAUAUUAGCUAAGGCAUUACCAAAUGUUAAGGAAUAAACUCUUAUAGUAAAGUGUUACUAAAUUUUCUUUUACCAUUUCCUUCACAAUGUCUACUUAUUUCUAUGGCUAACAGAUUUUGUAACAUUUGUCUUUUUUACAGUCUUACCAUUGCUUGUAAGCUGGAUUGGGUAAGAUGGAUCAUCUUUAAAGGCACCAGGAGUUAAGGCAGAUGUGGAGGCACAAUGGGUGACACCAGACACACACCAAGCACAUUAUGUUCGGACAUUCAAUCAUGACAUGAUCCAUGUGGAUGCUGUCCAUUGAGGAAAGAGUUUGUUCCGAGGUUUCUGGAUAGAAUUAAUUCCAAAGAUGGGAAAAAAUGCACAUCCAGACAAGGAGCAAGCAAAAAGACAAGGAACUUGGUGCAGAGAAAAGCUGUGGCCAUUAACCCCCAUGUGAACAGCUUCAUGCAGUCCCUGAUUGAGUUCGAAUGGACGACUUCAAAGUAAAGGCCACUGUGGUCUGUCUGCCAGUUUAAUGCAUUUAUUUUUAGUGUUAAAUGAAAUUCAAGUAGAAUAUUUAAAACUAUGGGCCAGUGUUCUUUUUACCACAGUGAAAUGUUACCUUUUAGUUGAUGAUGGACUUUAAACUGAAAACUUCAAACUAUGGAACAGUGUUCUAUUUGCCAGAGUUAAAUAUGUUACAG